rnacentral:rRNA from 1 species
UACGAAGGGGGCUAGCGUUGUUCGGAAUUACUGGGCGUAAAGCGCACGUAGGCGGAUAUUUAAGUCAGGGGGUGAAAUCCCAGAGCUCAACUCUGGAACUGCCUUUGAUACUGGGUAUCUCGAGUAUGGAAGAGGUGAGUGGAAUUCCGAGUGUAGAGGUGAAAUUCGUAGAUAUUCGGAGGAACACCAGUGGCGAAGGCGGCUCACUGGUCCAUUACUGACGCUGAGGUGCGAAAGCGUGGGGAGCAAACAGG